CAGUCGCCGCGGUAAUACGUAGGUGGCAAGCGUUGUCCGGAAUUAUUGAGCGUAAAGGGCUCGCAGGCGGUUUCUUAAGUCUGAUGUGAAAGCCCCCGGCUCAACCGGGGAGGGUCAUUGGAAACUGGGAAACUUGAGUGCAGAAGAGGAGAGUGGAAUUCCACGUGUAGCGGUGAAAUGCGUAGAGAUGUGGAGGAACACCAGUGGCGAAGGCGACUCUCUGGUCUGUAACUGACGCUGAGGAGCGAAAGCGUGGGGAGCGAACAGGAUUAGAUACCCGAGUAGUCCCUGUCUCUUAUAC
rnacentral:rRNA from 1 species